UCUACAUCCCACCGGAGAAACAAAACCGUCGCCGAUUCCUCCGCGGCUCCGCCCCCGCCCGAUCCGCGCCGCAACUGCCGCCACCACUUCCUCCGCGCCUCGACCGCCCUCCACUCCCCGCACGCAUAGCCCAGUCACACCGACAGCGCGGUGUCUAAUGCCGCCCGGUGAAGGCAAGGCCAAGAAGUUGCGACAGCGCCGUCUCGAAGCCAUUGCUGACAGCAUGGACGACACUGGCAGUCUGAAAUUACAAAGGCUCGAAACAUUUCCAGAUGUUCAUGAUCCGAUGGAGCGGUUGUGGCCGAACUGGCGGGACCUGGUUGUCGCCGCCACACGAACUUUGACAUGGACAAGAUACUCUCCUAGCUGCAGAGCUCAUGUCUCUACCUCAAUCCUAACACGUUUAAUUGCGUUCUAGAUAAGCGAACAUGUCAAGGUGAUUAAUUAUACUUUGGUGCUAACUUUAUUGACGCAUAGUUUCAUCAUUCAAUUUUCUGGCGUCACUAGACAAUAAGACAAGCACUGGCCUUCCCUGUACUGCUCAUCCUCCUCUACCUCCUUCAGUGGCAAGGGGCCCUUCUGGGCUCGUGAGGUAUAUUUGGUUUUAUAAAUGGAUUGUAUUGUACAAGUACAAUCAGAAUUGCAACUAACCUUUUGUGAUGUUUUCCUGUAUGUUGUUGAAAUUUGCUGCUUGGUCAUUCGCUGCGUAUCUUUAGUAUGGUAAUGUUCCUCAAAUCAUUUGAACUUGUAUGAACUUAACAGCUAUGAUGAUUAGUUCAGAUAUUAAUUCCACUUCAGGCAGAUUCAGGUUUCUAUUUUUUUUAGAGAAAUAUGAAACAUGCUCGUUCCCUGUAGUUAAGGAUGAACUAGAGUACUUCUCUAUGGUUCUUGACCUCUACUUCAAAUAUAACAUCACGGUAAGCAU